rnacentral:rRNA from 1 species
UACGUAGGGGGCGAGCGUUAUCCAGAUUUACUGGGCGUAAAGCGCGUGUAGGCGGCUGGUUAGGUGUGAUGUGAAAUCCUCGGGCUCAACCCGAGAACUGCAUUGCAAACCGGCCUGGCUAGAGUGCAGGAGAGGGAAGCGGAAUUCCAGGUGUAGCGGUGAAAUGCGUAGAUAUCUGGAGGAAGACCGGUGGCGAAGGCGGUCUGCUGGG